AGCUCGAUGAGUAGGGCGGGACACGUGGUAUCCUGUCUGAAUAUGGGGGGACCAUCCUCCAAGGCUAAAUACUCCUGACUGACCGAUAGUGAACCAGUACCGUGAGGGAAAGGCGAAAAGAACCCCGGCGAGGGGAGUGAAAAAGAACCUGAAACCGUGUACGUACAAGCAGUGGGAGCACGCUUAGGCGUGUGACUGCGUACCUUUUGUAUAAUGGGUCAGCGACUUAUAUUCUGUAGCAAGGUUAACCGAAUAGGGGAGCCGAAGGGAAACCGAGUCUUAACUGGGCGUUAAGUUGCAGGGUAUAGACCCGAAACCCGGUGAUCUAGCCAUGGGCAGGUUGAAGGUUGGGUAACACUAACUGGAGGACCGAACCGACUAAUGUUGAAAAAUUAGCGGAUGACUUGUGGCUGGGGGUGAAAGGCCAAUCAAACCGGGAGAUAGCUGGUUCUCCCCGAAAGCUAUUUAGGUAGCGCCUCGUGAAUUCAUCUCCGGGGGUAGAGCACUGUUUCGGCAAGGGGGUCAUCCCGACUUACCAACCCGAUGCAAACUGCGAAUACCGGAGAAUGUUAUCACGGGAGACACACGGCGGGUGCUAACGUCCGUCGUGAAGAGGGAAACAACCCAGACCGCCAGCUAAGGUCCCAAAGUCAUGGUUAAGUGGGAAACGAUGUGGGAAGGCCCAGACAGCCAGGAUGUUGGCUUAGAAGCAGCCAUCAUUUAAAGAAAGCGUAAUAGCUCACUGGUCGAGUCGGCCUGCGCGGAAGAUGUAACGGGGCUAAACCAUGCACCGAAGCUGCGGCAGCGACGCUGAUGCGUUGUUGGGUAGGGGAGCGUUCUGUAAGCCUGUGAAGGUGUGCUGUGAGGCAUGCUGGAGGUAUCAGAAGUGCGAAUGCUGACAUAAGUAACGAUAAAGCGGGUGAAAAGCCCGCUCGCCGGAAGACCAAGGGUUCCUGUCCAACGUUAAUCGGGGCAGGGUGAGUCGACCCCUAAGGCGAGGCCGAAAGGCGUAGUCGAUGGGAAACAGGUUAAUAUUCCUGUACUUGGUGUUACUGCGAAGGGGGGACGGAGAAGGCUAUGUUGGCCGGGCGACGGUUGUCCCGGUUUAAGCGUGUAGGCUGGUUUUCCAGGCAAAUCCGGAAAAUCAAGGCUGAGGCGUGAUGACGAGGCACUACGGUGCUGAAGCAACAAAUGCCCUGCUUCCAGGAAAAGCCUCUAAGCAUCAGGUAACAUCAAAUCGUACCCCAAACCGACACAGGUGGUCAGGUAGAGAAUACCAAGGCGCUUGAGAGAACUCGGGUGAAGGAACUAGGCAAAAUGGUGCCGUAACUUCGGGAGAAGGCACGCUGAUAUGUAGGUGAAGUCCCUCGCGGAUGGAGCUGAAAUCAGUCGAAGAUACCAGCUGGCUGCAACUGUUUAUUAAAAACACAGCACUGUGCAAACACGAAAGUGGACGUAUACGGUGUGACGCCUGCCCGGUGCCGGAAGGUUAAUUGAUGGGGUCAGCGCA
rnacentral:rRNA from 1 species